GACGAACGCUGGCGGCGCGCUUAACACAUGCAAGUCGAACGGAAAGGCCUGCUUUCCCUUGUGGAUUGCGGGUACUCGAGUGGCGAACGGGUGAGUAACACGUGAGUGAUCUGCCCCCAACUUGGGUAUAAGCCUGGGAAACUGGGUCUAAUUCCCGAUAGGACUGCAGGGUGGUGCCUGUGGUGGAAAACGAUUUUCUAGUGGUUGGGGAUGAGCUCGCGGCCUAUCAGCUUGUUGGUGGGGUAAUGGUCUACCAAGGCGGCGACGGGUAGCCGGCCUGAGGGGGUGGACGGCCACAUUGGGACUGAGAUACGGCCCAGACUCCUACGGGAGGCAGCAGUGGGGAAUAUUGCACAAUGGGCGGAAGCCUGAUGCAGCGACGCCGCGUGGGGGAUGACGGCCUUCGGGUUGUAAACUCCUUUCGACCGCGAGGAAGCCACCUGGUUGGAAGGGUGGUGACGGUAGUGGUAGAAGAAGCACCGGCUAACUACGUG
rnacentral:rRNA from 1 species